rnacentral:tRNA from 1 species
UCCCUGGCGGUCCUGUGGUUAAGACUCUGUGCUUCUACUUCAGGGGGCACAGGUUCGAUCCCUGGUCGGGGAA